AUGCUUCCGGCGCUGAGGCAUCGUCUCCGCCUCCCCCUCGCCCACCUCUGCCGCCGCCUCUCCUCGUCCUCGUCCUCUUCCGGCGAGGGAGCUGCCCCCGUCGCCCCCGCGGACGCCGCGGCGAAGGCGCGGGAGGCGCAUGCGGCGCGGAUGGAGGCGUACAAGAAAGUGCAGGAGUUCGACUGGUCCAGCGGCGCUGAUUGGAAGACGGCCGCCAACAUCCUCUUCACGGUGCCCCCCAAGCGCAAGGAGUUCGGGCUUGACUUCCACCUUGUACAGCUCUUCUUUGUUUGCAUGCCCUCACUAGCUGUCUAUUUGGUAGCCCAGUAUGCGCGAAGUGAGAUCAAAAGGAUGGAAGCGGAAGCAGAAGUAAAAAGGAAAAAAAUCGAGGAAGUAGAGAAACAGAAACAACUUGAAGCCGACUCUGUUAAGGAGGAUGCCGAUUCGAAGCUGGCAACGGUUUUAGUCAGGUUAGAUACAUUAGAGGGUGUCGUUAAGGAAAUUGCAGAGGAAAAAUUGAGAAGUCCUGCCCUUACGAAAGAGGAAUCUCUGAAGAAAGGUGAGACAUCAUCUCCUGAUAAGGCCUCUGCUUCAAAAAGCGAUGGAAGUGAUAGUCAGCUAGCAUCAGUCAAGAUUAAGGACACCAAGGAUGCUACUAAUGCUCCGCCAGAUGCGACACAGCAGGACACUAAACGGGACAGAGGCAAGGCAAAUGGAGGCUGGCGAGUUUAA
rnacentral:rRNA from 1 species